CGAAAAACCAGCAGAAGCCGACAGUAGAGAGUAGAAAAAAGCCAACACGAAAAAUCUAAUAAAAGAAUAGCUCAAAAUCGCUGAGUUUUCUCUGGUCAGGAAAAAGUUUGUUUUUCGCCUUGCGCCAAGUUUUGUGCGUUUUUAAAUGGCCCAAGCUGUGCUGGCCCCAAACAAAAACGAAGAGGAAAAGCUGGGAAAACCAUUGGAAACACAUGUCCAGCUAGCGGACAAGGACAAGAGCCAUGGAUCUGUGCAAAUGUUUGUGAGCUUGGAUUUCUUUUCGGUCAUUACAUUAAGUUGGCUAUCUGUGGAGAUUCGCUGCUGCACAAGCACACAAACUCCCCGAUAUCCACAUAAGUGGUAUUUGUGCUUGUGCUUUCUGCUUGUGCUUUCUGCUUUCUGCUUUUGCUCGGACUUCCAGAUGGGGAGCAACGGCUGCUCCUAAUGGUCAACGAUUCGUAAUAUUUUUAAUAUUUGCUCAAUAAAAUGUCAGACAAUUUUUGUCUCUGCCACUUAGACUCAUUA
rnacentral:sRNA from 1 species